rnacentral:rRNA from 1 species
GACGAACGCUGGCGGCGUGCUUAACACAUGCAAGUCGAACGGUAAGGCCUUUCGGGGUACACGAGUGGCGAACGGGUGAGUAACACGUGGGUGAUCUGCUCUGCACUUCGGGAUAAGCCUGGGUAACUGGGUCUAAUACCGGAUAGGACCCUGGGAUGCAUGUCCAGGGGUGGAGAGCUUUUGCGGUGCGGGAGGGGCCCGCGGCCUAUUAGCUUGUUGGUGGGGUGAUGGCCUACCAAGGCGACGACGGGUAGCCGGCCUGAGGGGGUGACCGGCCACACUGGGACUGAGAUACGGCCCAGACUCCUACGGGAGGCAGCAGUGGGGAAUAUUGCACAAUGGGCGCAAGCCUGAUGCAGCGACGCCGCGUGAGGGAUGACGGCCUUCGGGUUGUAAACCUCUUUCAGCACCGACGAAGCGCAAGUGACGGUAGGUGCAGAAGAAGGACCGGCCAACUACGUGCCAGCCGCCGCCGUAA